rnacentral:rRNA from 1 species
CAGCAGCCACGGUAAUACAGAGGGUGCGAGCGUUAAUCGGAUUUACUGGGCGUAAAGCGUGCGUAGGCGGCUUUUUAAGUCGGAUGUGAAAUCCCUGAGCUUAACUUAGGAAUUGCAUUCGAUACUGGGAAGCUAGAGUAUGGGAGAGGAUGGUAGAAUUCCAGGUGUAGCGGUGAAAUGCGUAGAGAUCUGGAGGAAUACCGAUGGCGAAGGCAGCCAUCUGGCCUAAUACUGACGCUGAGGUACGAAAGCAUGGGGAGCAAACAGGAUUAGAGACCCGUGUAGUCCCUGUCUCUUAUAC